CAAGUUUGGCUCUUUAAUCGUCGCCGUGAACUGGUAAGAACAAUAAUCAUGGAGAGAUCAGCAAAAAAAUAUUUUCUGGGGGAGUGCUUAUUCAUUUUCUCUGUUUCUACUCCAUCUCCUACUUUAGGUUUGAAAUUUGUAGGGGGCGAAAGAAGUUGGUGCUUCUUCUCAAUGAUUUAAGGCUCUGAAAACAUUCUGAAGUCCUAUCUCGGAUGCUUGUUGCUUUCUCCUCGAGUAGGGGAAACUCUUAUCCAUUUAUGUUUUUCUCUUCGGCUCUGUAACGUCAGUUCGCAUUGAUGGGCUGUGCAAACUCCAAGUCGAAGCGUUGCCAUCACUGCGGGGUUCCAUAUUCGUCGCCGGUGCCCUUGACUCGAAGCUACUCCACGCGAAUCCACCACCCACCGCGAAACAAAAGAGAUGGUUGCCAUGUUGUUGCUCUCACGUCCUCCACGUUAGGCUCUCUCGAUCUCGAUAUCUCUCACGUAGACGUUCAAGAGUUCAAUGAGAAAUUCUUUGCCAAGGGCGGUGAUUUCAGGCCCCGUGGCGAAUACGGCAACACUGGAAAAGUAGGGGAUGAAUUUCCGGCGGCACUAGUCGAGGAGGCCAAGACUUGGUCUGAUAUGAUUGAGGAGAAAAUACCAAAGGUACUUCUAAAACUCCAGUUAGGACUCCUCCUGGAGAUCCAGAGACGAUCAACACAUGGGAGUUGAUGGAGGGCCUCGAAGAUGUUAGUCCUUUUCAGUCGCCUAUUUACUUCAAGAGUUUCUCUUUCAAUGGCCCGAUCCAUCAAUCGUCCCUUGAAAAGCUCUCACUUACUCAUCCAUUCCAUAUACAUCCAUCAAACGAUCAAAAUGGAUCUUUAAUAGCAUGCAGUGGCAAGCCACUGGAUGUGACAGAAGCUGACCGGGAGAAUUUCGUAUUGGCAGAUGACGGUAAGUCUUUUCUGCGUAGGAAAGAGAUGGCGAUCAUCUACUAUACAAGCCUUCGGGGUGUGAGGAAGACCUAUGAAGACUCUUGCGAUGUGCGGAUGAUACUAAAAGCAGUUGGUGUCCGGGUCGAUGAGCGAGAUGUGUCACUGCAUUCUGGGUUCAAGGAAGAACUGAAGGAGCUUUUGGGAGGCUGGUUUGGCGGGGCAGGAUUGCCGAGGGUGUUUGUCGGUAGCAAGUGCAUUGGUGGGGCUGAGGAAAUCCGGAGAUUGCACGAGGAAGGACGGCUCGAGAAAGUAUUGGAGAACUGUGAAAAGGUCCAUGAUCGCCGUCUCAUCGGCGGCGGUGGUGAUGGGAUUUGUGAGGCCUGUGGGGACAUAAGGUUCGUGCCAUGCAAGACGUGCUUCGGGAGUUGUAAGGUUCUCUGCGACCGCGAUGAAGACGAUUACAGCACGGAAGAAGAAGGCGAGGGCGAUUACUUCGGGUUUCGGCAGUGCCCGGAUUGUAAUGAGAACGGCCUCAUCCGGUGUCCGAUUUGUUGUUAUUGAUCUUUAAAGUGGCAAAGAUCAGUCUUUUUUGCUUACAUUGGUUUCUGCAUUUUGCUGAGUGAUCUUUUGUGAGUUGCUUUUUGUUUGUGUAUAGUCUGUUGUUAUUUGGCUUGAAUGACAUGAGAAGAGCCUCUUUUAUUUACAA